rnacentral:tRNA from 1 species
AGCUUUAUAUUCAAAUAAUGAUAUAAAAUUGCAAAUUUUAAGGUAUAAAUGGUUUAAUAUUUAUUAAGGCUU